rnacentral:misc_RNA from 1 species
AAUAGACACUAAAAACCUAGCAAAAUCCCUAUUGAAAUUAACAAAAAUAUUGACAUGUCUAAUGAUCAAAGAGCUCUAGUCUUAUCAAGUAACAACAAUAAUAGAGACAACAAUCACGAAGAUCAAGAUCAGAAUCAGAAUCUUCGAGAUGAUGAUAUCAGAGAUAUCCAUGCUAUGACACCACCACAACCACCAGUACCACCAAUCAUGACAAAUAUUAAUCGUGGACGAAGGAGGGAAGCUUGGGA